GAUGAACGCUGGCGGCGUGCCUAAUACAUGCAAGUCGAGCGAACAGACGAGGAGCUUGCUCCUCUGACGUUAGCGGCGGACGGGUGAGUAACACGUGGAUAACCUACCUAUAAGACUGGGAUAACUUCGGGAAACCGGAGCUAAUACCGGAUAAUAUAUUGAACCGCAUGGUUCAAUAGUGAAAGACGGUUUUGCUGUCACUUAUAGAUUGAUCCGCGCCGCAUUAGCUAGUUGGUAAGGUAACGGCUUACCAAGGCAACGAUGCGUAGCCGACCUGACAGGGUGAUCGGCCACACUGGAACUGAGACACGGUCGCGACUCCUAAGGGAGGCAGCAGUAGGGAAUCUUCCGCAAUGGGCGAAAGCCUGACGGAGCAACGCCGCGUGAGUGAUGAAGGUCUUCGGAUCGUAAAACUAUGUUAUUAGGGAAGAACAAAUGUGUAAGUAACUAUGCACGUCUUGACGGUACCUAAUCAGAAAGCCACGGCUAACUACGUG
rnacentral:rRNA from 1 species